AAAAAUUAGCUUUAGAAAAAAUCUACGCCAUUAAAUUUGUCAUCGGAUAUCCAGACUGGUUGUUGGUUCCCGGCGAAUUAGAAAAAUACUAUGCAGAGUUUGACGUGUUUAGUGCGGACAUGUUCCAGUCCCACUUAAAAACCCUUUCCGCUUUGGAAGAUAAAAAAUUGAGACCUAUGACGAUGCCAAUGAACGAUAAUAUUGAUUUCAAUCCACACACGACUGAUGUCUUUUACGAUCGAGAAACUAAUUCAAUUGUGGUUCCUGCUGGUAUUUUGGAAGCUCCGUUUAACGAUUUCGCCCUCAAUGCUUUGAGGUACGGUUCAGUUGGCGCUCUGAUUGGUAAUGCCUUUACUCAUGCACUUGACGACAUCGGACGUCAGUAUACCCGGUUUGGAAGCCUCAGGCACAGG